rnacentral:lncRNA from 8 species
UGGAUACUGGCGUCUAUAUUGCUCCCCUGCCAGCCCACGAUCCAAGUGCCUCUUUAUAAAUGCCUGGCCAUUAAUGUUGCGGCAGAGGCUGAUAAAUUGAUGUGGUCUAAUCGAUAUAUCCUCAGAGACCGAUGUAGUGAAUGCUGUGUGACACAAGUGGAGUCCUAUUCACUGCGUAUCAAUGUGCUCUCCAACAACAACCUGCCCUGGACCAGCAGAGGACAUUCAACCCCUGCUGUUUACUGAGUCCACCCCCGCCCCCCCUGUUCCCCCCUCCUCCCUCACUGUGGCACCGCAGUGGUCAUGUGAGUCCAAAGUCAUGUGACUUGCCCGUGUGACAAGUGUAUGAUUGUUGAUUUGUCCUUGGGUGCUGUCCAAACCUCACUCCCUGGCUACGUUCCAAAUGGCACCCUAUUCCCUAUUUAGCGUACUACAUUUGAUAGGGCUGUGGUCAAAAUUAGUGGACUAUAAAGUAUAGGGAACAGCGUGUCAUUUCUGACUUAGCCUCCCUCUUGCCCUCCUCCGCCACUGACUAAGAGCAGUAGGGAUUUCUGAUGAUAGAGUAGGUAUGAUGAUAGAGUAGGUGUGUGCAGGAAGCAAU